CGGAUUCUGAGACACCCUGGCUUUAA
rnacentral:piRNA from 1 species